rnacentral:pre_miRNA from 1 species
UUAUCACAUGUCGAACUGUCCCAGUUCGAUAGGUACCCUGUCGAACUACGGUUGUUUGAUAGGUACUCUAUCGAACCACGGAUGUUCGACAGGUUG